GACGAACGCUGGCGGCGUGCCUAAUACAUGCAAGUUGAGCGCUGAAGGUUGGUACUUGUACCAACUGGAUGAGCAGCGAACGGGUGAGUAACGCGUGGGGAAUCUGCCUUUGAGCGGGGGACAACAUUUGGAAACGAAUGCUAAUACCGCAUAAAAACUUUAAACACAAGUUUUAAGUUUGAAAGAUGCAAUUGCAUCACUCAAAGAUGAUCCCGCGUUGUAUUAGCUAGUUGGUGAGGUAAAGGCUCACCAAGGCGAUGAUACAUAGCCGACCUGAGAGGGUGAUCGGCCCCAUUGGGACUGAGACACGGCCCAAACUCCUACGGGAGGCAGCAGUAGGGAAUCUUCGGCCAUGGACGAAAGUCUGACCGAGCAACGCCGCGUGAGUGAAGAAGGUUUUCGGAUCGUAAAACUCUGUUGGUAGAGAAGAACGUUGGUGAGAGUGGAAAGCUCAUCAAGUGACGGUAACUACCCAGAAAGGGACGGCUAACUACGUG
rnacentral:rRNA from 1 species